rnacentral:lncRNA from 1 species
UUUUUUUCACGUAGUGAUCCGAACCUGCUAGGAGGGUUUGGGUCCUCCCUCCCGCCCCUAGGACAAUUUUGAAAAUAAGACUAUACUCAUUUUCUUCAAUAACAUAUUAAUAUAGUUCUUUUUCCAAAAAGAAAUCCGUUGUAUUGAACGGAACGGAUAUGUGAUCUCUUCCCCGGAGAUUGUAAACUAAUGUGCCAUUUCAAGUAACUUACCCCCCCCCCCCCCCCCCCCCCCCCCCCCCCCCCCUCCCCCCCGCCUUUCCCCCCGAAAAUCAAAUGAUUGCUACCGGAAAAGCAGUCUACGAUUUCGGUCUAAAUAUACAGCAGAUACUUGAGACUUGCUUGCUUGGUUUGUAUUCAUGUUUGUAUUUGCCUAGGCAUUGUAAUUGAGAUAGAGCUUGAACUUAUGAGAUAUAUUGAUUCAAUUAUUUUGCUUGAUAAUUUUGCUUGAUAAUUUUGAUUUGAUAAUUUUGCCGUUAAUAGCAUAAUUAUUUUACCGGAAUUAGCACAAUUCCAACUUAGCAGAUGUAUUCUAUUUGUCUAUCUCGGAGAUCCUGGAUUCCAAUAGCGGGAUAGUAGUACAACAAAGGAGUUAUUAAUGAAAUGUUAAUAGCUACAUGUAUAUAUUAAGAGGAUUCCAUUAUACUGGACUUCUGAUAUUAG